CUCUUCCCAUUCCGAACAGAGAAGUUAAGCCCGUUCACGCCGAUGGUACUGCAGUAACAUGUGGGAGAGUAGGUAGCCGCCUCCU
rnacentral:rRNA from 1 species